rnacentral:rRNA from 1 species
GAUGAACGCUGGCGGCGUGCUUAACACAUGCAAGUCGAGCGGGCAAUUUAUCUAGCACUGAUUACUUCAAAUGGCUAUCGCCAGUGUAAUCAUGAAUUUCUACCUUAUAAUAAAGAAAAAAGAAAUUCAUGUACGCAAAUAGUGAUAACACAUGAAAGUGGAGUGAUGAGUGCUGGAUAAAUUGCUAGCGGCGGACGGGUGCGUAACACGUGGGUAACCUGCCCCUAUCACUGGGAUAACACACUGAAAAGUGUGCUAAUACCAGAUAAUAUAAGCUUUUGGCAUCAUUAGCUUAUCAAAGAAUUUCGGAUAGGGAUGGGCCCGCGUCUGAUUAGCUAGUUGGUGAGGUAACGGCUCACCAAGGCAACGAUCAGUAGCCGACCUGAGAGGGUGAUCGGCCACACUGGAACUGAGACACGGUCCAGACUCCUACGGGA